GAUGAACGUUGGCGGUGUGCCUAAUACAUGCAAGUCGAACGGAGACUGUAGCAAUACUGUCUUAGUGGCGAACGGGUGAGUAACGCGUUGGUGAUCUGCCUCGAAGUGUGGAAUAACCUCCCGAAAGGGAAGCUAAUACCGCAUAGUCUCUCAAGGUUUAGAAAAUUGAGAGUAAAGGAUUUAUUCGCUUCGAGAGGAGCCUGCGUCCCAUCAGCUAGUUGGUAGGGUAACGGCCUACCAAGGCAAUGACGGGUAGGGGACCUGAGAGGGUGGCCCCCCACAAUGGAACUGAAACACGGUCCAUACACCUACGGGUGGCAGCAGUAGGGAAUAUUAGAAAUGGGCGGAAGCCUGAUCUAGCAACACCGCGUGUGCGAUGAAGGCCUUGGGUCGUAAAGCACUUUUUGGAGGGAAUAGGAAGGAUGUACUUCCAGAAUAAGUCUCGGCUAACUACGUGCCAGCAGCCGCGGUAAGCAUACUCGUA
rnacentral:rRNA from 1 species